rnacentral:tRNA from 1 species
GAAUUUUUAAUAUAAUUAGUAUAUUAAACUGUUUAUUUAAUUGUUAUAAAUUCU